rnacentral:rRNA from 1 species
UAAGCUUCCAGGCCUAACACAUGCAAGUCGGGCGGUAACAGGGGAAGCUUGCUUCCCGCUGACGAGCGGCGGACGGGUGAGUAAUGCAUAGGAAUCUGCCUGGUAGUGGGGGAUAGCCCAGAGAAAUUUGGAUUAAUACCGCAUACGCCCUACGGGGGAAAGCAGGGGAUCUUCGGACCUUGCGCUAUCAGAUGAGCCUAUGUCGGAUUAGCUUGUUGGUGAGGUAACGGCUCACCAAGGCGACGAUCCGUAGCUGGUCUGAGAGGAUGAUCAGCCACACUGGGACUGAGACACGGCCCAGACUCCUACGGGAGGCAGCAGUGGGGAAUAUUGGACAAUGGGCGCAAGCCUGAUCCAGCCAUGCCGCGUGUGUGAAGAAGGCCUUCGGGUUGUAAAGCACUUUCAGCGAGGAGGAAAAGGGUGUUGCUAAUAUCAACGCCCUGUGACGUUACUCGCAGAAGAAGCACCGGCUAACUCCGUGCCAGCAGCCGCGGUAAUACGGAGGGUGUAAGCGUUAAUCGGAAUUACUGGGCGUAAAGCGUGCGUAGGCGGUCUUUUAAGUUGGAUGUGAAAGCCCCGGGCUCAACCUGGGAACGGCAA